rnacentral:rRNA from 1 species
UACGUAAGUGGCGAGCGUUAUCCGGAAUUACUGGGCGUAAAGCGUGCGUAGGCGGCCACGCACGUCCGUUGUGAAAUCGCUCGGCUCAACUGGGCGGGGUCAGCGGAUACGGCGUGGCUGGAGCAAGCUAGGGGGCAAUGGAAUUCCCGGUGUAGUGGUGGAAUGCGUAGAUAUCGGGAGGAACACCAGUGGCGAAGGCGGUUGCCUGGAGCUUUGCUGACGCUGAGGCGCGAAAGCGUGGGGAGCGAUCCGG